GGGCGGCUAGCUCAGCUGGCUAGAGCGCUUCGUUUACACCGAAGAGGUCUGAGGUUCGAGUCCUCAGCCGCCCA
rnacentral:tRNA from 1 species